UCCUCUACCGGCCGUCUCUACAUUGCCCACGUUUCUCUCUUCUUGUUUACAGGUCUAGGAUGAAGUGGAGAAGACGAGGUAUGGCUGUUCAUCACCGUAGAAGUACCGACCCGCUCGGUUAAUGCUUCUUCAUUGGCGCCAUCCGUGGGACCGCACGAACCACAUCUUGUUUCUUCUCCUCCCUAUUUUUUAAAUAUGUUUUGUUGAAGUUUCGAAUAUAAGAAUUUCGUGGGUUUUGUUCCGGUUCUGGAUUUAAAAAAAAAAGUCAGAUCUGGGCUAUCUUUUAAAGUUUUAUGUGGUUUGUACUUUGGGAUAUGUGCUCACCCAUACUUUAAAAACUAAUUUUGAAUCGGAAAUCUUGAUAUGUUUACUCAUUUCAGUUAUUCGUCAAGAUUCAUAAAUUAGCUUUCCAAUAAACAUAUUUUCGGAUGAGGAAAAUUGUCCACGAACCAUUUUUACAUAAAGUGCUAUUUACGUACAAGGAAAAAGCAUAUUGAGUAGCCCCCACUUCUCAUCUUUAUAUCCAUGAUUAUCGUCAUGCUAGGAGGCUCUGAUGACCACGCUUCACACCAUCGGCUGUGUCCGCCCCCCGCGUCCAGAAUCCAGGCGUAAAGGAAGAACGUACAAGCACCACGAAACCGGAAGGAGCACAAGAUCGAGGUAAAACUCCACUAUAGGCGAUUUGGAGAUAUGGAGCGAGCACGUGUUCAAGCCUUAUUAUACCAAGCGCUUCCGCUAGGUUAUAUGCAUACUUUUGGGUCCAUGUCUUGUUACUUUGUUAAAUUAUGUUAGAAGUCUUACAUUUGAAAACUUGUUGUUUUUGUUGGGGUAUUUUAAUGCUAAUAGGGUCGUAGGUGAAUGUUGUCUAUUAUGUCAAAAACAGGGGGCAUGU